rnacentral:rRNA from 1 species
AACGAACGCUGGCGGCAUGCCUAACACAUGCAAGUCGAACGAGACCUUCGGGUCUAGUGGCGCACGGGUGCGUAACGCGAGGGAACCUGCCCCUAGGACUGGACUAACCUCCCGAAAGGGGUGCUAAUACCGGAUAUUGUCUUCGGCCCAAAGACUUAUCGCCUUUGGAUGGUCCCUCGUUGGAUUAGCUAGUUGGUAUGGUAUAUGCCUACCAACACGACGAUCCAUAUCUGGUCCGGGAGGAUGGUCAGCCACUCUAGUACUGAGACACGGCCCAGUCUCCUACGGGGCACAAAGGUGAAGAAUAUCGCACUACGGGCGAAAGCAUGAGCCAGCAAUGUCGCGUGAGUGAUGAAGGCCUUAGGGUUGUAAAGCUCUAUUAUACGGAAUGAUAAUGGCAGUCCCGGGAGAAUAAGCCCCGGCUAACUCCGUG